rnacentral:rRNA from 1 species
CGGCGGAAUGCUUUACACAUGCAAGUCGAACGGCAGCACGGAGAGCUUGCUCUCUGGUGGCGAGUGGCGAACGGGUGAGUAAUAUAUCGGAACGUGUCCAAUAAUGGGGGAUAACGAGUCGAAAGAUUCGCUAAUACCGCAUACGCCCUACGGGGGAAAGCAGGGGAUCGUAAGACCUUGCGUUAAUGGAGCGGCCGAUAUCUGAUUAGCUUGUUGGUGAGGUAAAGGCUCACCAAGGCGACGAUCAGUAGCUGGUUUGAGAGAACGACCAGCCACACUGGAACUGAGACACGGUCCAGACUCCUACGGGAGGCAGCAGUGGGGAAUUUUGGACAAUGGGGGCAACCCUGAUCCAGCCAUUCCGCGUGAGUGAAGAAGGCCUUCGGGUUGUAAAGCUCUUUCGCAAGGGAAGAAAACUUAUGAUCGAAUAAAUCAUGAGGUUGACGGUACCUUGAUAAGAAGCACCGGCUAACUACGUGCCAGCAGCCGCGGUAAUACGUAGGGUGCGAGCGUUAAUCGGAAUUACUGGGCGUAAAGCGUGCGCAGGCGGUUUUGUAAGUCGGAUGUGAAAUCCCCGGGCUCAACCUGGGAACUGCGUUCGAAACUGCAAGGCUAGAGUGUGUCAGAGGGGGGUAGAAUUCCACGUGUAGCAGUGAAAUGCGUAGAGAUGUGGAGGAAUACCAAUGGCGAAGGCAGCCCCCUGGGAUAACAC